rnacentral:lncRNA from 1 species
CCUGAGGCUGGGCUGGCAAGAAGCCCCUCAGCCUUGUCGGGAACCCUGGCGUAUGCAUCUGGCAAGGCUGGCGCCACGUGACCCAGCUUCUGGGCUUUGUCUGUGGCUGCCAGGUGGUCAGCGUGUUUACGGAGGAAGAGGACAGCUUUGAUUUCAUUGGUGGAUUUGAUCCAUUUCCUCUCUACCAUGUCAAUGAAAAGCCAUCCAGUCUCUUGUCCAAGCAGGUGUACUUGCCUGCGUAAGUGAGGAAACAGCUGAUCCUGCUCCUGUGGCCUCCAGCCUCAGCGACCGACCAGUGACAAUGACAGGAGCUCCCAGGCCUUGGGACGCGCCCCCACCCAGCACCCCCCAGGCGGCCGGCAGCACCUGCCCUGGGUUCUAAGUACUGGACACCAGCCAGGGCGGCAGGGCAGUGCCACGGCUGGCUGCAGCGUCAAGAGAGUUUGUAAUUUCCUUUCUCUU